UUGUAUGUGGAGGAUGAGGGCUGCAGUAGAUAUCUCAGAUAGGGGGAGUGAACAGGUGUUGUAUGUGGAGGAUGAGGGCUGCAGUAGAUAUCUCAGAUAGGGGGGGAGUGAACAGGUGUUGUAUGUGGAGGAUGAGGGCUGCAGUAGGUAUCUCAGAUAGGGAGGAGUGAACAGGUGUUGUAUGUGGAGGAUGAGGGCUGCUUUAGAUAUCUCAGAUAGGGGGGAGUGAAGGGGUGUUGUAUGUGGAGGAUGAGGGCUGCAGUAGAUAUCUCAGAUAGGGGGGAGUAAACAGGUGUUGUAUGUGGAGGAUGAGGGCUGCAGUAUAUAUCUCAGAUAGGGGGGAGUGAACAGGUGUUGUAUGUGGAGGAUGAGGGCUGCAGUAGAUAUCUCAGAUAGGGGGGAGUGAACAGGUGUUGUAUGUGGAGGAUGAGGGCUGCAGUAGAUAUCUCAGAUAGGGGGGAGUGAACAGGUGUUGUAUGUGGAGGAUGAGGGCUGCAGUAGAUAUCUCAGAUAGGGGGGAGUGAACAGGUGUUGUAUGUGGAGGAUGAGGGCUGCAGUAGAUAUCUCAGAUAGGGGGGAGUGAACAGGUGUUGUAUGUGGAGGAUGAGGGCUGCAGUAGAUAUCUCAGAUAGGGGGGAGUGAACAGGUGUUGUAUGUGGAGGAUGAGGGCUGCAGUAGAUAUCUCAGAUAGGGAGGAGUGAACAGGUGUUG